GCUUUAUAUUUUUAUUUUAUUAUUUGUGUAGUGUUAUUUUUAUAAUAUAAAAAAAAAUAUUUUGUUGGGGUGACAAGAAGAUAAGAAAAACUCUUUUUAGUUUAAUUACAUUGAUGUAUGAAUUGUUGAUCCAUUAUUAUUGAUUAUAAGACUAAGU
rnacentral:rRNA from 1 species